rnacentral:misc_RNA from 1 species
AAGUCGUAACAAGGUUUCCGUAGGUGAACCUGCGGAAGGAUCAUUACCAAUAUAGCGAACCGAGCGUUAGCGAGGCUUCGCGAUCAAUUUGUAUUUAAAACCCAACUCUUUAAAUGUAUAUAUUAUUAUUGUAAAUAAUAAAAGAUCACUUUCAACAACGGAUCUCUUGGCUCUC